AAUGUGAAUUGCAGAAUUCAGUGAAUCAUCGAAUCUUUGAACGCACAUUGCGCCCCCUGGUAUUCCGGGGGGCAUGCCCGUUCGAGCGUCAUUACACCACUCCAGCCUCGCUGGGUAUUGGGCGUCUUUUCGCGGGGGAUCACUCCCCCGCGCGCCUCAAAGUCUCCGGCUGAG
rnacentral:rRNA from 1 species